AUGGGCGGAAGCCUGAUGCAGCAACGCCGCGUGCGGGAUGACGGCCUUCGGGUUGUAAACCGCUUUCACCCAUGACGAAGCGCGAGUGACGGUAGUGGGGGAAGAAGCACCGGCCAACUACGUGCCAGCAGCCGCGGUGAUACGUAGGGUGCGAGCGUUGUCCGGAAUUAUUGGGCGUAAAGAGCUUGUAGGCGGUUGAUCGCGUCGAUAGUGAAAUCCCGGGGCUCAACCUCGGGCUUGCUGUCGAUACGGGUUGACUUGAGGAAGGUAGGGGAGAAUGGAACUCCCGGUGGAGCGGUGGAAUGCGCAGAUAUCGGGAAGAACACCGGUGGCGAAGGCGGUUCUCUGGACCUUUCCUGACGCUGAGAAACGAAAGCGUGGGGAGCAAACAGGCUUAGAUACCCUGGUAGUCCACGCUGUAAACGGUGGGUACUAGGUGUGGGUCGCAUUCCACGUGAUCCGUGCCGUAGCCAACGCAUUAAGUACCUCACCUGGGGAGUGCGGCCGCAAGGCUAAAACUCAAAGGAAUUGACGGGGCCCCGCACAAGCGGCGGAGCAUGCGGAUUAAUUCGAUGCAACGCGAAGAACCUUACCUGGGUUUGACAUGU
rnacentral:rRNA from 1 species